rnacentral:rRNA from 1 species
UACGUAGGGGCCUAGCGUUGUCCGGAUUUAUUGGGCGUAAAGGGCUCGUAGGCGGCCAACUAAGUCAGACGUGAAAUCCCUCAGCUUAACUGGGGAACUGCGUCUGAUACUGGAUGGCUUGAGAUUGGGAGAGGGAUGCGGAAUUCCAGGUGUAGCGGUGAAAUGCGUAGAUAUCUGGAGGAACACCGGUGGCGAAGGCGGCAUCCUGGACCAACACUGACACUGAGGAGCGAAAGCCAGGGGAGCGAAUGGG